GAACGCUGGCGGCGCGCCUAACACAUGCAAGUCGAACGAGCGAGAGAGAGUUUACUUUUUCGAGCGAGUGGCGAACGGGUGAGUAACGCGUGAGGAACCUGCCUCAAAGAGGGGGACAACAGUUGGAAACGACUGCUAAUACCGCAUAAGCCCACGGCUCGGCAUCGAGCAGAGGGAAAAGGAGCAAUCCGCUUUGAGAUGGCCUCGCGUCCGAUUAGCUAGUUGGUGAGGUAACGGCCCACCAAGGCGACGAUCGGUAGCCGGACUGAGAGGUUGAACGGCCACAUUGGGACUGAGACACGGCCCAGACUCCUACGGGAGGCAGCAGUGGGGAAUAUUGCACAAUGGGGGAAACCCUGAUGCAGCGACGCCGCGUGGAGGAAGAAGGUCUUCGGAUUGUAAACUCCUGUUGUUGAGGAAGAUAAUGACGGUACUCAACAAGGAAGUGACGGCUAACCACGUGCCAGCAGCCGCGGUAAAACGUAGGUCACAAGCGUUGUCCGGAAUUACUGGGUGUAAAGGGAGCGCAGGCGGGAAGACAAGUUGGAAGUGAAAUCCAUGGGCUCAACCCAUGAACUGCUUUCAAAACUGUUUUUCUUGAGUAGUGCAGAGGUAGGCGGAAUUCCCGGUGCAGCGGUGGAAUGCGUAGAUAUCGGGAGGAACACCAGUGGCGAAGGCGGCCUACUGGGCACC
rnacentral:rRNA from 1 species